rnacentral:misc_RNA from 1 species
GAUGAAGAACGCAGCGAAAUGCGAUAAAUAAUGUGAAUUGCAGAAUUCAGUGAAUCAUCGAAUCUUUGAACGCACAUUGCGCCCGCCAGCACUCUGGCGGGCAUGCCUGUUCGAGCGUCAUUUCAACCAUCAAGCCCCCAGGGGCUUGUGCUGGGGCCCUGCGGCUGCCCGCAGGCCCUGAAAACCAGUGGCGGGCUCGCUAGUCACACCGAGCGCAGUAGCACAUCUCGCUCAGGGCGUGCGGCGGGCUCCUGCCGUGAAACCCCCCACUGUAACCCCAAAGGUUGACCUCGGAUCAGGUAGGAAUACCCGCUGAACUUAAGCAUAUCAAUAAGCGGAGGA